AUGCUGAUUGCGCUGAUUUGGAAGUUCGAUUUCUCGCCGUUUAUGAUCCUGGUCAUUGCCAUUCUCAACGACGGCACAAUCAUGACCAUCUCCAAGGACAGAGUGAAGCCAUCCCCACAUCCAGAUAGCCGGAAGCUACUGGAGAUCUUCAUCACCGGCAUCGUCUAUGGUGCCUACCUUGCUGUGUUGACCGUGGUGUUCUUCUUCGCCAUGACUAGCAUCGACUUCUUCAGCGAGAAGUUCCACGUGCGUUCGCUAAGGAGCAACAAGGACGCGAUGAUGUCUGCCCUCUACCUUCAAGUGAGCAUCAUCAGCCAGGCCCUCAUCUUCGUCACCCGGUCGCGCCGCUGGUGCUUCCAGGAGCGCCCGGGGCUCUGGCUCUGCUUCGCCUUCGUCGUCGCGCAUAUCAGAACGGGUGUUCGGUGA
rnacentral:rRNA from 1 species